CCCACUCGAGUAACCAAACUUCCCACCAAGCUCAAGGAUUACACUUUAUGAUGAAAAAUAUCUAUUGGUCCCCCUCCUCCCUCUGAAAGUUGUUGUUAUGGCAGGCUAGCUGUCUUUUGUUUUUAGCUUAACCAAAGGCCUGUGUGCCAUUAAUAUGUCUUUCUACUCUAGUUUGCUUUCUCAAUCAAUGNACACUUUAUGAUGAAAAAUAUCUAUUGGUCCCCUCCUCCCUCUGAAAGUUGUUGUUAUGGCAGGCUAGCUGUCUUUUGUUUUUAGCUUAACCAAAGGCCUGUGUGCCAUUAAUAUGUCUCUACUCUAGUUUGCUUUCUCAAUCAAUGAAAAACUGAGUUGUUGUUCUGAAUUUCUCUGUGCUUUCUUUCUUUUGGGAGUCAGAGUUCACUCGAAGAACUCAUAUUUGAUUAAGAGUGUAUCAGAUUGUUUGAAGGAUGUAAUGUUAUUGAUUUAAUGAGUGUUUUAAAAAUCAUAUUGUUUGAAUGAAUUUUUUUCCACA
rnacentral:lncRNA from 1 species